UUCAGGGUGAGGUUGGAGACAUAUCCGGCACUUCUCAGCCAUCGAUGAGUAGGACCAUGCCGGCGGUGUUGGACGCAAUUAUUUCCCUGGCCCCAAACUACAUCCAGUUCCCUUACAGAGAUCCCCAACAAGCCGAAAUCAAACGGGGCUUUCACGCCAUCGCCGGAUUCCCAAACAUAAUUGGAGCCAUAGAUUGCACCCACAUAGCCACAAAAGCACCGUCAACUAACGAAUUUAACUAUGUUAACAGAAAGGGGUUUCAUUCUGUCAACGUGCAAAUCGUUUGUGAUGCAAAUCUAUCCUUGUUAAACGUUGUUGCGUGGUGGCCUGGAGGAACACACGACUCAUUCAUCAUGCAGAACAGCUCUGUUGGUGUGAGUCUCCAAGAAGGCGCUGUGGAAGAUGGCUGGCUCAUUGGUGAUCAAGGUUACCCGCUGAAGCCAUGGCUAAUGACCCCCUUAACCAACCCGAGGACCCAGCAGGAAGUAUAACCGGCGUAUAACCGGGCCCAUGCGCGCACGAGGGGCACCGUUGAGCGCGAAAUAGGCCUGCUGAAAGGGCGAUGGCUGUGCCUUUCCAGCAAGGGGGGGGACACUGCAGUAUCGGCCUGAAAAGGUGUGAAGGAUCAUCAUAGCUUGCUGUGUGCUACACAAUUUAGCCAUCAGACAGGGGGUCCCUCUGCAGGAACUCCCCAGACCAGACGGUCCUAUGCCUGACGCAGUGCCCCUACCACCUCCUAAUGCCACUGGCCUUCAGACGAGACAGGAUCAUACAGAGAUUUUAGCACCGCCUCCACCAGCACUCUUGGCGCACAGUGCACGGGAGGGACAAUGGACGGCCCCGGUUCCUCCGACUCCUCCAGCAACAGCACCAUG